rnacentral:rRNA from 1 species
GUGGGGAAUUUUGGACAAUGGGGGCAACCCUGAUCCAGCCAUGCUGCGUGCGGGAAGAAGGCCUUCGGGUUGUAAACCGCUUUUGUCAGGGAAGAAAUCCUUUGGGUUAAUACCUCGGAGGGAUGACGGUACCUGAAGAAUAAGCACCGGCUAACUACGUGCCAGCAGCCGCGGUAAUACGUAGGGUGCGAGCGUUAAUCGGAAUUACUGGGCGUAAAGCGUGCGCAGGCGGUUUUGUAAGAUCGAUGUGAAACUCCCGGGCUCAACCUGGGAACUGCAUUGGUGACUGCAAGGCUGGAGUGCGGCAGAGGGGGAUGGAAUUCCGCGUGUAGCAGUGAAAUGCGUAGAUAUGCGGAGGAACACCGAUGGCGAAGGCAAUCCCCUGGGCCUGCACUGACGCUCAUGCACGAAAGCGUGGGGAGCAAACAGGAUUAGAAACCCGUGUAGUCC